AAUUUUGGACAAUGGGGGAAACCCUGAUCCAGCCAUCCCGCGUGUAUGAUGAAGGCCUUCGGGUUGUAUAGUACUUUAAGUUGGGAGGAAGGGGUUGAAGCUAAUACCUUCAAUCUUUGACGUUACCAACAGAAUAAGCACCGGCUAACUCUGUGCCAGCAGCCGCGGUAAUACGAAGGGUGCAAGCGUUAAUCGGAAUUACUGGGCGUAAAGCGCGCGUAGGUGGUUCGUUAAGUUGGAAGUGAAAGCCCCGGGCUUAACCUGGGAAUUGCUUUCAAAACUGACGAGCUAGAGUACGGUAGAGGGUAGUGGAAUUUCCUGUGUAGCGGUGAAAUGCGUAGAUAUAGGAAGGAACAUCAGUGGCGAAGGCGACUACCUGGACUGAUACUGACACUGAGGUGCGAAAGCGUGGGGAGCAAACAGG
rnacentral:rRNA from 1 species